rnacentral:rRNA from 1 species
UCGAGGAUCUUCGUCAAUGGGCGAAAGCCUGAACGAGCGAUGCCGCGUGCGCGAUGAAGGCCUUCGGGUUGUAAAGCGCUGUCGAGGGGGAGAAAAGCCGAAAGGUUUGAUCUAUCCCUGGAGGAAGCUCGGGCUAAGUUCGUGCCAGCAGCCGCGGUAAGACGAACCGAGCGAACGUUGUUCGGAAUCACUGGGCUUAAAGGGCGCGUAGGCGGGCUGUCAAGUCUGGGGUGAAAUCCCACGGCUCAA